rnacentral:lncRNA from 1 species
AGGAUCCAUUGGAGGGCAAGUCUGGUGCCAGCAGCCACAGUAAUUCCAGCUCCAAUAGCAUAUAUUAAAGUUGUUAAAAAGCCCGUAGUUAGAUCUUGGGAGUGGGCGGGCAGGCUAGCCAUGGACCGUCCCCGCCCCUUGCCUCUCAGCACCCCCUCGAUGUUCUUAGCUGAGUGUCCCGUGGCCCAAAGCGUUUACUUUGAAAAAGUUAGACUGUUCAAAGCAGGCCUGAGCCACCUAGAUAUCUCAGCUAGGAAUGAUGGAAUAGAACCGCCAUUCUUUUUUGUUGGUUUUCAGGACUGAGGCCAUGAUUAAGAGGGAUGGCUGGGGGCAUUCGUAUUGUGCCACUAGAGGUGAAAUUCUUGGACUGGUGCAGUUCGGACCAGAGCUAAAGCAUUUGCCAAGAAUGUUUUCAUUAACCAAGAACGAAAGUCGGAGUUUCGAAGACGAUCAGAUACCGUCGUUGUUCCGACCAUAAACGAUGCCAACUGGUGAUGCAGCGGUGUUAUUUCCAUGACCCGCUGGGCAGCUUCCCAGAAACCAAAGUCUUUGGGUUUUUGGGUUAGUAAAGCUGAGGAAUUGGUGGAAGGGCACCACCAGGAGUGGAGCCUGCAGCUUAAUUUGACUCAAUAUGGGAAACCUCACCCGGCCCGGACAUGGACAGGAUUGACAGAUUGAUAGGUCUUUCUUGAUUCCAUGGGUGGUGGUGCAUGGCCUUAGUUGGUGGAGUGAUUUGUCUGGUUAAUUCCGAUAAUGAAGGAGACUCUGGCAUGCUAACUAGUUACGCGACCCCCAAGCGGUCAGCAUCCCCCAACUUCUUAGAGGGAUAAGUGGCAUUUAGCCACCCGAGAUUGAGAAAUAACACGUCUGUGAUGCCCUUAGAUGUCUGGGGCUGCACGCACGCUACAGUGACUGGCUCAGCGUGUGCCUACCCUACGUGGCAGACGCGGGUAACCUGUUGAACACCAUUGGUGAUGGUGAUCGGGGAUUGCAAUUAUUCCCCAUGAAUGACGAAUUCCCAGUAAGUGUGGGUCAUAGGCUUGCGUGAAGUCCCUACCCUUUGUACACACUGCCAGUCGCUACUACUGAUUGGAUGGUUUAGUGAGGCCCUUGGAUCGGCCCCGCCGGGUCAGCCCACUGCCCUGGUGGAGCACUGAGAAGACAGUCGAACUUGACUAUCUAGAGGAAGUAAAAGUCAUAACAAAAUUUCCAUAGUUGAACCUGUCGAGGGAUCAUUAACGGAG